rnacentral:lncRNA from 1 species
UAGGAGCUCUGGAUCAUGGGGUGCUGUAGGCCGUGAUGAUGAAGAAGAUGCUAACACAUACUAGGAUUGGGCUGAUGAGAUAAAGAAAAGUAAGGAGCAAGAGGACCGCCAUCUAGACAAGAGCAAGGAGAAGGAUCCAGAAGCCGACAUGUCGGAACCGAAGGAGCAUGAUCGUACGUGUUGCACCGCUUGCAGGAAGAACAUCCACUAUCUCUUCAAUGCCGUCGAUGACACCAUGGAAGCCUUGCAAGAUUUGGACCAGAAGGUCGCAGACAGUGAUCGCCAUCAAGAGGACGACUUCAAGUUCUUGCAGAGGAAUGUGAGGAAGCUCUUCAGGAUGUGUGGCAACAUGAGGAAGAACAGAGCUAAUGACGAAGGAAGCAGCAAUCGUGUCGUGUGCAAGCAGUGUCACUAGUGCGUUUAGGGGUGUCUCUCCCUUUGUACUUUAUAUGGUCACGACGAGGAUGUCGUAGAUUUUAAGCGUUGGGGGGGGGAGAUCACUGCUCGUAGGGAGUUUUUGGAUCUAGCUUGGUUGAGUCAAGUCAUGUGAGAGUCUAAAUUAGUGUUUUUAUUUCAAUCAAAAGUAGAUAAAGUAGUAGUCUUCUUAAGCUUCUCGGAAAACUUAGGCCUAGAUCGCUACUUUAACGUCUUUAUGAAAAGAAGCAUUAAUAAAAUUCGAGGAUCGUGCGAGUAUUUUUAGUGUCUACCUUGGCUUGCUUGUCUUUUAUUUUGUGUUUACAACUUUGGAUCAUGAGCAUUUUCUUGAAUUCUAAAUCUUAGUUGUGGAGUUUUAGUAACUAAUUUGUUGAUGCAAUACUCAUGCUUUAUGAUGAUCAAGUGCUUCAGUUUUGAUUAUGCUUUAUGAGUAAGGCUUAAAUCGGAGGUGAUUUAAAAUUUAUUGCUUAUCUAAAAACCUCUACAAAAACAAGAUUGAUCAAGUUCUUUAACCAGGUUGAGAGUUAUUAUUGAUCCUACCCAAUGCCUAAAAAGAUUUAUUCAUACCACCAUAACAGAUUUAACACUUUGAAUUGAGUUAGGAUCGCUCUCUCUUGCAUUGGUUUGCUUUAAUUAUGAGCAUUGAUCAUAUCCUUUUACCAUCUCUGAUUUCUAGCCUCGUCGAUAUUCAGUAAUGAGAGUUCUUUAGUAGAAUAAUCAUAUUUUCUACUGAAUUCCUAAAUCUGAACCAAAUAUUUCUCAAUUUUAUUACCUGUUCCUUGAACACAACCCAAUAAUUG